rnacentral:pre_miRNA from 1 species
AGAAGGAACAACCGCAGUGGCAGCGGUUAGCUCUGGAGCCCUGGAUUCAGCUCACGCAGUAACUAUGGAGCUCUCCACCUGCAGGGGCCUGGAGGCUCCAGAGGCGGG